rnacentral:rRNA from 1 species
AUUGAACGCUGGCGGCAGGCUUAACACAUGCAAGUCGAGCGGAGAUGAGGUGCUUGCACCUUAUCUUAGCGGCGGACGGGUGAGUAAUGCUUAGGAAUCUGCCUAUUAGUGGGGGACAACAUUCCGAAAGGAAUGCUAGUACCGCAUACGUCCUACGGGAGAAAGCAGGGGAUCUUCGGACCUUGCGCUAAUAGAUGAGCCUAAGUCGGAUUAGCUAGUUGGUGAGGUAAAGGCCUACCAAGGCGACGAUCUGUAGCGGGUCUGAGAGGAUGAUCCGCCACACUGGGACUGAGACACGGCCCAGACUCCUACGGGAGGCAGCAGUGGGGAAUAUUGGACAAUGGGGGGAACCCUGAUCCAGCCAUGCCGCGUGUGUGAAGAAGGCCUUACGGUUGUAAAGCACUUUAAGCGAGGAGGAGGCUACUGAGACUAAUACUCUUGGAUAGUGGACGUUACUCGCAGAAUAAGCACCGGCUAACUCUGUGCCAGCAGCCGCAGUAAGAC